rnacentral:rRNA from 1 species
GACGGAGGAUGCAAGUGUUAUCCGGAAUCACUGGGCGUAAAGCGUCUGUAGGUGGUCAAAUAAGUCAACUGUUAAAUCUUGAGGCUCAACCUCAAAAUCGCAGUCGAAACUAUUAGACUAGGGUAUAGUAGGGGUAAAGGGAAUUUCCAGUGGAGCGGUGAAAUGCGUAGAGAUUGGAAAGAACACCGAUGGCGAAGGCACUUUACUGGGCUAUUACUAACACUCAGAGACGAAAGCUAGGGUAGCAAAUGGG